CUUGAGUGAGCCGAGCCAGAGCGGCUGGUCGGCCGGCCGGUCCCGGCCGUAGGCAGCCAGCAGCGCCUGGGCCUC
rfam:Frankia sp. ETN1f ctg00158, whole genome shotgun sequence.